rnacentral:snRNA from 1 species
AUACCUUUCUCGGCCUUUUCUUAUAGUAAGAUCAAGUGUAGUAUCUGUUCUUAUAAGUUUAAUAUCUGAUAUGUGGGCCAUGUGUCCACUUUGAUAUUAAAUUUAUUUUUUGUGAUGAAGGGCUCAUCACAAUGGCUUGCCAUUGAAGCCCUUGAGUGUCGCCUAUACGUUGCACUGCUGUUUGGGCCUGGCACACCCCAG